rnacentral:misc_RNA from 1 species
UGCCUGUUCGAGCGUCAUUUACACCACUCAAGCCUGGCUUGGUCUUGGGGCCCGCGAAACAGCGGCCCUUAAAUGCAGUGGCGGUGCCGUUGGGCUCUAAGCGUAGUAAUUUCCUCGCUAUAGGGUCCGUGGUGGCUUGCCAAAACCCCCAACUCUUAAAGGUUGACCUCGGAUCAGGUAGGGAUACCCGCUGAACUUAA